UAUCCGGUUCCUGGAGCAACGAACGGCCGCGGCGGUGGCGGAGACAGCUACGGUUUCGGAGGAAGCGGCUGCGGAGGAGGAAGAAGAGGAGCUGGGCAAGGCGAGAGCCACAGGCGGGACCCUCGCCAUGGGUCAGCGGACCUAGAGCGGUGGAAGGUACCGGCCGGGAGCCGAGCUGGCCGCUGCUCCUUCUUGUGGCCCCCAUGGCUGAGGACUGGCUGGACUGCCCGGCCCUGGGCCCUGGCUGGAAGCGCCGUGAGGUCUUUCGCAAGUCAGGUGCCACCUGUGGACGCUCAGACACCUAUUACCAGAGCCCCACAGGAGACAGGAUCCGAAGCAAAGUUGAGCUGACCCGAUACCUGGGCCCUGCGUGCGAUCUCACCCUCUUCGACUUCAAACAAGGCAUCCUGUGUUAUCCAGCCCCCAAGGCCCAUUCCUUGGCCAUCCCCAGCAGGAAGCGGAAGAAGCCUUCGAGGCCAGCCAAGGCUCAGAAACGUCAGGUUGGACCUCCGAAGAGCGAAGUCAGGAAGGAGGCCCCAAGGGAUGAGACCAAGGCUGAUGCUGACACAGCCCCAGCUUCGCUUCCUGCGCCUGGGUGCUGUGAGAACUGUGGAAUCAGCUUUUCAGGGGAUGGAACCCGACGGCAGCGGCUCAAGACUCUGUGCAAGGACUGCCGAGCACAGAGAAUUGCUUUCAACCGAGAGCAGAGGAUGUUUAAGCGUGUGGGCUGCGGGGAGUGUGCGGCCUGCCAGGUAACGGAAGACUGUGGGGCCUGCUCCACCUGCCUUCUGCAGUUGCCCCAUGAUGUGGCCUCGGGGCUAUUCUGCAAGUGUGAGCGAAGACGGUGCCUCCGGAUUGUGGAAAGGAGCCGAGGGUGUGGAGUGUGCCGGGGCUGUCAGACCCGAGAGGACUGUGGCCGUUGUCGAGUCUGCCUUCGCCCUCCCCGCCCUGGUCUCAGGCGCCAGUGGAGGUGCGUCCAGCGGCGUUGCCUGCGGCACCUUGCACACCGCCUCCGCCGCCACCAUCAGCGAUGUCAGCGACGCCCUCCCCUAGCUGCGGCUCCCCCUGCUGGUAAACACGGCCGCCGCAGGGGAGGCUGCGACUCCAAGGUGGCUCCCCGGCGGCGCCCCCCCCGAACCCAGCCGCUGCCUGCACUUCCGCCCUCGCAGCCUCCAGAGUCUCCAGAGCUGCACCCCAGAGCCCUGGCCCCCUCGCCACCUGCUGAAUUCAUCUAUUACUGUGUAGACGAGGACGAGCUACAGCCUUACACGAACCGUCGGCAGAACCGCAAGUGUGGGGCCUGUGCAGCCUGCCUGCGGCGGAUGGACUGUGGCCACUGCGACUUCUGCUGUGAUAAGCCCAAAUUCGGGGGCAGCAACCAGAAGCGCCAGAAGUGUCGUUGGCGCCAGUGCCUGCAGUUUGCUAUGAAGCGGCUGCUGCCAAGUGUCUGGGCAGGGUCCGAGGAUGGCGCCGGGCCACCUGCACCUUACCCGCGUCGAAAGAGGCCUGGCUCUGCUCGAAGGCCCCGUCUGGGUCAGACCCCGAAGCCUCCCUUGGCCACGCCCAUGGCCCAACCAGACCGUGCCCGGACUCCAGUGAAGCAGGAAGCAGGCAGUGGCUUUGUGCUGCCCCCGCCUGGCACCGACCUCGUGUUCUUACGGGAGGGUGCAAGCAGUCCCGUGCAGGUGCCUGGCCCAGCUCCAGCUUCCACAGCAGCUCUGUUACAGGAGGCCCAGUGCCCUGGCCUGAGUUGGGUCGUGGCCUUACCCCAGGUGAAGCAAGAGAAGGCGGAUGCCCAGGAAGACUGGACACCGGGCACAGCCAUCCUGACUUCUCCUGUAUUGCUGCCUGGCUGCCCCAGCAAGGCAGUAGACCCAGGCCUGCCACCUGUGAAGCAAGAGCCACCUGACCCUGAGGAGGACAAGGAGGAGGAGAACAAGGAUGACUCCACCUCUGACUUGGCCCCAGAGGAGGAGGCAGGAGGGGCUGGCACGCCCGUGAUCACGGAGAUUUUCAGCCUGGGUGGAACCCGCCUCCGGGACACAGCAGUCUGGUUGCCAAGUCUGCAGGGCAGGCAAUCGGGAAGGGAAGAUGGAUGUAAAGAGUGGGAGACCGAGGAGACACUGGCGCCACCGAGCACGAGCUGGAAACCACGCGGAUGGCCCGGAACCCAUGUCAGCCUCUCACCACCUCCAACUUCGAUGAUGUGGGUUUCCUGCAGAAGAAGCUGGUGCCCUUCAUCACAGAGUUAAAUAUGCAUCUGGGCCAGGAAUUAGAGAAGCCGAAGGAAGAUCCUGGGGAAGGUGGAGCAGCUGCAGGCCUGGCUGCGGGCCUGACUGCUGCCCCAUACCAACGAGGCUACGUAAACUCUUAGCAGUAAAUGAAAAUGAGUAUUUUACCGAACUGCAAUUGAAAGAAGAAGCUUUAUAGGAGAUAAAAGACAAAAUGAGAGAAUUACUAAAAGAAAAUUUGAAAGAGAAGAGAGACACUGUUUUGUGGCUGAAAGCCUGAACCAGCAAUUCAGGAAAUGGAGUCCAAACCUAGAAACAUACCGCCUACAAAAUCUGAAGUGGGCAGAUUACAAAUGAUUAAGCAAUGCUAAUUUACCGUAAAUUGCGGUCUUAAGAUGGGAUGCACAGUACUAGUUGUACUUUGGUUAUUACACGUCAGUGACCGGCUAGGUGCUGAUUUUUUGUGUGUUGUAAUGAUAGUUCUAUGUUCACCCCCACUAUAGAAAGAGUUCCAAAGUGUUAUUUGGCUUUUAGGUAUUAACUACCACCUUGCUCUUGACCGGAAGUACAGCUGUGGUCUCCACCUGUGCUGAGGGCCCCUUCUAGGUUUCCUGACCUGUGUUGUUUUCCUGCCUGGGAUCCGGAAUCUCAGAGCCCGAUCACCUGCAGUUCUAAUCCACAUCCUAGCCCUGGCCCUGGUUUUUAUUGUGCCCAGCCAGGUCGUGUCACUGCCGUACCAGCCCAUCUGAUUGCCCCCCAUCCUAGGGUACGUCAAGUCUAAGCCCUGGUUUCCUGAUUUUAUUAACAAAUUUGUCAUUACUGGUUGAGUUGGCUGACAAAACAGGCUCUCUCAGCUUUAAUUGUUUUAGCUGUAAAAUGAGGAUAAUACCCGCUGUUCCAUCAGUCUUAUAAGAUACUUGUGAGGCUCAGAGGUUUUAUGUGUGAAAAUACGUUGUAAAUUCCUGUAAAGAACUACGCGAAUAAGGUUGUCUUGUGAUGAUAUGUCAUGAAGAUUACUUAGAGAUGGCCUCAAAAUUUAACCUACCAACAAAAUGCCCACUAACCUUUCUCAUGCUUUUAGACCGAUUACAAGAUAUAAAUAGAAAAGUCAAUUGGAAUGUAGUUAGAUCUUCGACUUCACUUCGGGUUAAGGAGGCUCUUUUUCUGCUAUUUGAUGAACCCUAGAAGAAGGGAGCGAGGUCGGUGGGAGGCCUGGCCAAGGGCGGGGUGAGGGCUGCGCAGACUCAGCUUUUCCACUCCCAGAGGAAGUCGCGAGUGCCGGCGUCUAUGGUCACCAUGGUGACGGGACCAACUUCCGCCCCACUCACCUGCCCAGAGCCCCGCGAGGCGCACCAUGGCAACCGGACCGCUGCGUCGCGGAAUCUCGUCCCUCAGGUCGCUGUGGCUGGGGAAUCGCGGCGGGCGCCGCCCCCAACCCGAGGGGACUCGAAAAUGUACAGCCAGCGAUUUGGCAUCGUACAGCGGGAGGUUAAGGGCCCCACUCCCAAAGUGGUGAUCGUGGUAAGCACGGGGUGUGUGUGAGGGACCCUAUCGCUUUCUGCAUCUCCCCCAACUCAGCACCAGCGCAGCCCACCCUGGCCCCCAGCAGGGGCUCUCUCGAGGGAAGCAGGUGCUUGAUGCAGCAGCUUGAAUUUUGAAAGAGGGAAGGAUAAGGUCUCUUGCCUAGCUCUCGUACUCCGUCCCUCCCUACCCCCCAACCCCCCGCGUCAUAUAAUAUUUACUUUCUGUAUUUGGAGAAACACCACUUGAGAUCUUAGGGUUUUCAGUCUUCCGAGACUGCUGAAAGAGGUCGUCCCCUUGCAAUGCGGAGUGUGUGUCAAGGAAACGGUGCUGGGUCAAGCGGCAGGAAAUCGGGGGUCUGGGCUGGCAGUGAUUCAGCUGUACGGUCUUGGGCUAGUUCUACACGCCUAGGAAAAUCGUCUGUUGAAGGAGUAUUGGGCUGUGAGAGGUUGUGAGUGGUUAUAGAGCCCUUCCUUUGCUGACUCAACCAUAACAGAAGCGUCCCUGCAGGCCUGGGAAUAGGAGGUUGGUUGCCUUUAAGGCAGGGGAGGUGGUAGGAGGCUGGGGGAAUGUUGCGUGCUGCAGAGUUGAAUAGGUCCUGCUCAGAACCCCAGACACUUGGUCCAUGCACCUGCAUUCCUUUGUUUCUACACACUGGUUUCUACAGGCUAGAAAACCACGUGUAGGUAGGCAAUUAUAGAGGUAUUACUUGAGCCCCUGCUGUGUGCACAGCUCUGUGGAAAAUACAGGGGUGAAUACAGUGACCCUGGGAGGUUUACCCUUCUUUAGAAGUCUGAUCCCUGCCUUCACGUUGCUUAUCAUCUAACUGCAGAAACAACUUGCUCAUGCACAAAACCAUCAAAGGUUAACACAGGUUAAUGAUGUGCUAUAUUGUCUGUGUUGGAACAUCGUGGAAGAAAGAUCAGAGAUAAUGAAGGGUACAGUUUUAUUACGCUCCAUAGUGCACAUAGCAGUUCUCAGUCAAUUUAUAGACCUGCUCACUCUUCUUUAGGUCCAGGGACUGUAGGAUCUGGGUUUGGAAAUCAGUAGAGUGGAGUCUUUUACAGUCUGUACAGUUCAAGGUGAUCAUUAUAGACAGACUUUAUGAGGGACAGAAAUUGAUGUACUUUGGGUUCUGUAUGCGAACACUGAGCUCAGGGGCUGGGCCAUUGGUCAGGUGAUAUUACUUGUGUUGGGAACCAAUAAGGAUUUCUGUUCCACCAAAUUACCACCAAACCAGAGAAACAGGCCUAUUGAAUACUUUAAGUUUAUAGAAGAAUAAAGAGGAAAAGGAAGAGGUCAGAGCUGGUGUAUCUCAGCUGUCAGAGUGUGAUAAGAAGUGUGGAUGUUAGAGGUUGCAGAGUUGUGGUGGGAGAAGAAUUAAAGCCACCAGAGAUGAGACGUGGAUGCUAAACAAUUCCUCCAGGAGAAGGUGGUGAAAGAUGAAAUGUCUGAAGUAAUGGAGAAGCAAAAGGAGCAGCUAUUUGGUGAGUGCCUCCUAGGGACCCAGUUAUUUACUUCUUGAAAUAAUUUUUUAGGAGGACGUUUAUUUUGCUCAUUUUGACAGGUGAGAAAACUGAGACUUAAAAAGAUUAAGUAACUUGCUCAAGAUCACACAAUUAGUAAUCAGUAGAGGCCAGAAUCAAACCUAGGCUGUAAGACAUCAUUCUUUAAGACAUUAAACUGUAAACUGUAAUAGUAGAGACUAAUUUGAGAUGUUGCAGUAACAAAAGCCUUCAGGGACCUUGAAAGUACAGAGUAGUUAUUAAGCCCUUUGUUCUGAAUUUAGCAUGGUUUAAGAGUUGCAGUGUCCAUUAUGGUAGCCACUAGCCACAAAUGGCUUUUGAGCACUUGAACUAUGCGUAGAGACACAUGUUGAAAUGAUAAUAUUUUGGAUAUAUUGGUUAAAUAAAAAUAUAUUAUUAAAAUUAAUUUCCCGUUUCUUUUUACUUUUUAAAAUACAGCUACUAGAAAAUGUUAUUAAAUUACAUAUCUGGUUUAUAUUAUAUUUCUGUUAAACAGGACAGGUUUUGAUUACAUAAUGCUACGACUCUGCAUGGAUUGGCACCACCUUGUUGUUAGAGAACUCCAGAUCAUACCUGUUCGUCCAGAGAUAGGGUCCUUCCUGACCACAAAGUCCUACACAAGAUGCCCAAGCCUUAAAGGGCUUCCUAAUCCCCAGCUACUGCUCAGGCUGUUUCUCACCACCCUUCACCCCCAUCCCCCUCUUCAGUCAAAAUGUAACUCAGAACCUGGUUCUUGCCCUGACAAUUUGACAAUUGAUUCCUGAUGACCUUGGUGCUUGGUUCCUGUUCUCAGCCCAUCUGUCUACUGGGAGCGUGAGUUCCUAUGUAUAUCCUGCCCAGGGUGCAGUCUUGACCCAGCUCUGCUUUGUUGUAACUGAAUCCGCAUUCAUAAAAUGUUUUAUAUGUUAGAGAACAGUAGUUUGUUAACUAAAUCUAGGCUCUAAAUAAUUUGGAUAUGGAUUAGCUACUUCCCAUGAUGUAACCCUCAACAUCGUCUUUUGUCUCCAACCUACCUCAGCUUUGUAUUAUCUUGUUCAACUAAUCUAGGUACAUAUAUAUAUACCCUGAGCCCUGAAUCUUUUCAUGAAGCUAUCUUCAAAUGUUGGUUUUCUUUCCCUAGGAGAUUCCCUUACCAAGUCCCAGUGCCAGUAUUCUGGUAAUCCUGACAGUGCUGUUCUAAGUGUAAAUGAUCAGAUUGACUCUGCCACAUGAGUUAAAGGUUUUGUUACUGUGAAUCAGCACACCAGAGUCUCACUACUCACCUAAGGAUGAUUUGAUAAAACUGGCUGAAAAUACAAAGCUCAAGACCAUGGAUUUCAUGGUGGCCCAGGAGAAGCAGGAAUCACAUCAAGCCCACCCAUAAACAUUGUUUCAUUCAUUCAUCUUUCCCAUUCAUAUUGAGAACCUGAUGCUGGUAGGCGUGUUCAUUGCUAGGAAUACAGAAAUGAAAAAGAUAUAGUCCAUAUGAUUUUAUUAAAUGUGUCAAUAUGUAUUCACAAUGAUGUAUGCAUUUCCAACUUUCUGGUGGAAGUUUGUAUAAAAUGAACAUAUUUACAGAAAUUCAAUUUACCCCAAAAUGUCAGGAGCACAGCUCUUACAUUAAACUUCUGGGCACAAUAGAAAUAGGAAAAAAGUUCUACCACUAGGGUUUUUUUGUUUUUUUUUUCCCUUUUCUUUUCCUUCUUUCCCUCCCUCCCUUUCUAUCUUCCUUACUUCCUUCUUAGUAAAGAGUUUUUCAUUGUCACAACUUGUUAUAUAUUGAUAUAUCCUUAUACUUAGAUAGUAGUCUCUUAAUUGAAAGAAUUUUUCUGUUGGUAACUAUGUUGUCCACCCCUGAGAAACAAUGUGGGAUAGUUGGUGGCAAGAUCAAGGUCAGGAGUUAGAAGACCUCUAAUUCUUGUUCUAUCCAGGUCUGCCCUAACUAUUUAAAGCACUUUGAGCAAAUAACUUAUCUAUUGUUGAGUUAUAACUUAUCUAGAUAAUCCAGAGAUUAUCUAGUCAAUUAUCUGUUGACUAGAUAAUCUCUGGAGCCCUGUUCAAAUUUUUAACUUUAUAAUUCCAUGAACUUUUACUCAAAUGGCAUUUGAGAAAUAUUUGAGACUGAUUUGAUGACAUCUUAGGUAUAGGUUCAAAGAAUCAAACAAGUUACAUCUUAGGCACCUAAGUUGUUUGCAGUUGUAGCAGGAUGCAUUAGUUUUAUAUACCAAGUUUUGAUUAAUAGGAGUAUUGGUGGAGGUCAUGAUUAAUUGAAAAUAUGCAAUUGAUUUUGGGUCUAUCAUAAGUGGUAG